rnacentral:rRNA from 1 species
UACGUAGGUGGCAAGCGUUGUCCGGAAUCACUGGGCGUAAAGCGCGCGCAGGCGCGAUCUACGUCUGGGGUGAAAGCCCGGAGCUCAACUCCGGGACUGCCUUGGAUACGGGAUCGCUUGAGGAUUGGAGAGGCAAGGGGAAUUCCACGUGUAGCGGUGAAAUGCGUAGAUAUGUGGAGGAACACCUGUGGCGAAGGCGGCCUGCUGGGCA